UACGGGGGGGGGCAAGCGUUGUUCGGAAUUACUGGGCGUAAAGGGCUCGUAGGUGGCCAACUAAGUCAGACGUGAAAUCCCCCGGCUUAACCUGGGAACUGCGUCUGAUACUGGACGGCUUGAGUAUGGGAGAGGGAUGUAGAAUUCCAGGUGUAGCGGUGAAAUGCGUAGAUAUCUGGAGGAAUACCGGUGGCGAAGGCGGCAUCCUGGACCAUUACUGACACUGAUCCGCGAAAGCUAGGGGAGCAAACGGG
rnacentral:rRNA from 1 species